UACGGAGGGAGCUAGCGUUGUUCGGAAUUACUGGGCGUAAAGCGUGCGUAGGCGGUUAUUCAAGUCAGAGGUGAAAGCCCGGGGCUCAACCCCGGAACUGCCUUUGAAACUAGAUAGCUAGAAUCUUGGAGAGGUCAGUGGAAUUCCGAGUGUAAGAGGUAGAAUUCGUAGAUAUUCGGAAGAAACACCAGUGGCGAAGGGCGACUGACUGGACAAGUAUUGACGACUGAGGCACGGAAAGCGAUGGGGAUGCAAACACGGG
rnacentral:rRNA from 1 species